rnacentral:lncRNA from 1 species
AGAAUUUUAGAAGAGAUAUGGAUAGGACCAAUAUUGCUGCAUUUUGGACAGCAGUGAUGUGUAGAAGAUGGGUGGGGAAGUAAUGAAGCUGGCAGGAGAAAGUGACAGGUGGCAUCGACAUUUGCUUUCAAUAGCUAGUGGAUGUACAUUUCAUGGAAGACCCUGAGGGGAUCUCUAAAAGCCAUGAUUGGUCAAGAAAAAGUAUCUUGAUUUAGUUCAAGAAUUGAAACAAUAAAAUAAUUUGGCUUUAAGGACAUUUAAGUAUUUUUCAAAGAGAUGAUAUGUAAUUAAUAUGGCUUUAUGAACCUGAAUUUAUGUAAAUAUGUUAUUUUACUAUCCUCUCACCUUUCUUAAGCUUCAAUUCUUACCUAGUUGUGUUGGUUAUUUCCAGUUUGGAAAUCCCCUUUGAAAGAGAAAGAGACAAAAUAGGAGUUAGACUGUUUAGCUACAUUAUGGCAUUAGUUGAUAUUACUUAUUUUUUCCAAGUAAAGCUGCACCCGGCUCGGAGGGUCCUACCCCACGGAGUCUCGCUGAUUGCUAGCACAGCAAGACGGAAAUAUCUCUGAUGGAUUCUACAUUAGAUAGCAAGGUUGACAUACCUGGAAUGUAGAGAGCACUUGAGAAGUUUGUAAAGUUUUCAUUUGACAUAUUUAGACUGCUGAAAGUUUUAAAAUUUUUAUAAGCGUAGGUUUUGAUGUUGAAAACUUGUUUUUAGGGAGAAAAUCCCUAUAUCUUUGUUUAAAGGUAAUUAGACAGUAUCACUAACUGUCCCUGUGCAGUAAUAACAGCCUCAUUAUAUAGUAAAUGUGGGGCAAAAUCCAUUUGGAAAAUGUUAAGCUGCAUUUCCAGACAAGGUUGUAGUGUAUUUUUAAUUAGUGCAUGUAUGUUAUGUGUAAUUGCUAGUAGAACAAAGUUAUAUAUUUAAAACUGUUACUUGUAGAAACCUUUCCAGUUUUCCCAAAUACCAUGGGUUUUGUGCAUAGUUUAUACAAAUCUUUAAUUUACCAGACCGUCUUUUCAGUUUGUGGGU